UAUCUUGCAGCCCUGCCAAGGAGCCUUAUCUGCAUACUAUACCUGAAAUGUAGGUUUCUCUUUAGUCAUGGACCCACACUUAUCAUGCUCAGCUUUAUUAGUCCCACCCCUUCAAGCUCUUUGUUUAAGAGAAAUCUUGCAACCCACUUUAAUCCCUGCUUCCUACAAAAUAGAGAUAAAAAGUCUUCCCCCAAUGUAUUGUUUAAAGCUGAGCAUUACACAAGAGACACCACAAUGCUCUUACUGCAGAUUUUAUUGUAUCCAGAUAAAAGACCAUGUUCAGACUCUGAAGGCCUUCACAUGUUGCAUGUUGAGACACAGAAACAGUGUUUCUGUAAACUGUGGUGCUUGUUUGAAGUAGACAACACUUGUGAAAGAAGAUGGAAAAGUUCUUAGAAGUAGAAGCUGAUCAAGUCCAGCAAUGAUCUGGUCUGUGCAUCUGUGUAUGCCUGGGUGUGUGUGCGUGCAAUGCCAGGCUGCAGCUUGUAAAUAAGAACCACAAUAACAAGGCAGAUAUAAAAUAAACAGCUCACAUGAUCAAAGGGACAAGUACUCAAUAUACGUGAAACUGAAUAUCAGACAUAGCAGUAAAUUUGACCAGCCUGGAAACUUAAACCACUUCUAUGUCAAGACCAUGGCCAGAAUAACUUCACGGAGUUUAGUGGUGAACCAAGGACGAGUUUGGCAUGGGAGGAGUUUUUUGUUCUUGGGUAAGUUGUGGCAUAAUGUUGAAAUUAUUGUUACUGAAGUAUGGUUGACUCAAAUUGGUGAGGCUCCAAGCAGGAGUUUGGUUGUUGUGAACGGAAACUGCAUGCAAAGUUAACAGAGACUGGUUUAGACAGUGAUUGCUUCCAGCUGAUUAAAGUAAGAUAACCAUCCUGCUGAAAACUGUAACUGAAUUUCCACAGCCAUUCACUGUCAGAAGGCUUCAAUUAGACUACUGUGCAUGCCUUCCUCGGCACUGGACACCACACAGCUGCUGCUCUCUGAGCCACCUUACACCUACAUGGGCUCUUGCCUCCCAGUGCCAUGUGUCUGUAGAAGGUGGAAACACACAUCUUCAGCUUUCAGAUAAGGCAAUGAACAUUUUCAAUUUCGAUCCACACAGCUGUUACCCUUGGUUUGCUACUACAGUUUAGUAAAAGUUCAAAAAAGGAGCUGAAAGUGUUCUUGGGAUAAAUAAUUCUGACCUGUUGGGUUUCCUCCUGCAGGACCCUGGUCCUGAGCUGCAUGUAGACACACCCCACAGUUUCACUGCUGUGUCUUCAGCAUAAGUUCUGUACAUUGCUGAUGCUUUGCUGGGCAGGGACUAUGUGGUGAGUGAUGGAACUCAGGGCUUUAUGAAAUCGCAGAAAAAAUCUAAAUACACAAAAGUACUGAUAUUGCUGGGUUCUUAAAUGAACAAAAAGCAUCAGACCCCAGGGAAAGUGUAAUGAUUAAAAAUUAUGUGAGAAAUAUAACCCUGAACUAUCCCUAUUUCUUUGUAAAGCAACAAACCAUUGCAUCUCUGAGUUUUGUGAUUCAUUCUGCUCCUUUAAAUCUCCACCAAAACAGGUGGCAAUGAUUACAAGUCUUUUUAUCUUUUUU
ensembl:lncRNA